UACGGGGGGGGCAAGCGUUGUUCGGAAUUACUGGGCGUAAAGGCUCGUAGGCGGCCAACUAAGUCAGACGUGAAAUCCCUCGGCUUAACCGGGGAACUGCGUCUGAUACUGGAUGGCUUGAGAUUGGGAGAGGGAUGCGGAAUUCCAGGUGUAGCGGUGAAAUGCGUAGAUAUCUGGAGGAACACCGGUGGCGAAGGCGGUUCUCUGGGCAUGAUCUGACGCUGAGGAGCGAAAAG
rnacentral:rRNA from 1 species